GCCUUCGUGGUGUAAUGGUAGCACACUCGGUGCGAAUUCGAGAGGUCCAGGUUCGAGUCCCGGCGAGGGCA
rnacentral:tRNA from 1 species